rnacentral:rRNA from 1 species
UGUCUACUAAUUAUAGACCUGUAUGAAAGGCAAAAUGAGGGUCUAACUGUCUCUUAUAAUAAAUCAAUUAAACUGAUCUCCUAGUAAAAAAGCUAGAAUAAUAACAUAAGACCAGAAGACCCUGUGAAGCUUUAAUUAAACUAUUAAACCAUAUAAUAUCUACUUUCGGUUGGGGCGACCUUGGAAAAAAAAAGAACUUCCAAAUAACAUGACUAUACCUCAUAACACCCAAAUAGGCCAACAAGCCAAUAAAUGACCCAGCAUAGCUGAUAAUUGAACCAGGUUACUCCAGGGAUAACAGCGCAAUCUUCUUCAAGAGCCCAUAUCAAAAAGAAGGUUUACGACCUCGAUGUUGGAUCAGGACAUCCUAAUGGUGCAGCCGCUAUUAAGGGUUCGUUUGUUCAACGAUUAACAGU